CGUCAUUAAUUUUUCAGGCAAUAAUCAUUACGAAAAGAAUUUAACGAGAAAUAAAUCGAUUAAUGCACGAAAAUACAAUAUUGGCAUAUCACGUUUACCAUUGGCCAACGUUCAAGAAAUUACAGAAUACGAAGAUUCCACGGAUGAUAGUUCUACUGCAACAAAUAAAUUGAAAGAGGCUCCACUCAAAAAGAAUAAACUUGGAUGGAAUAAAAAUUCAGAGGAAAAGUUAUUCAACCAGAACGCUAAGAAAAAUCAAAUAAGUAGGAGAGAAGAUUCAUCCACAUAUUCAACAGAUAGUGUAUCUGUUACAAAAAAAAAAGUACGUUUACGUGGU